AUUAUUUUGUCAGAUUAAUGAGUUAAAUUUAGGAUUUAAUUAUACAUAAUUUAUUAUGUAAAUAAUA
rnacentral:tRNA from 1 species